rnacentral:rRNA from 1 species
UAGGGAAUAUUAGAAAUGGACGAAAGUCUGAUCUAGCAACACCGCGUGUGCGAUGAAGGCCUUCGGGUUGUAAAGCACUUUUUGGAAGGAUUAGGAAGGAAUGUACUUCCAGAAUAAGUCUCGGCUAACUACGUGCCAGCAGCCGCGGUAACACGUAGGAGGCGAACGUUAUCAGGAUUUACUGGGCGUAAAGCGCGUGUAGGUGGUUCUGUAAGUAGGGCGUGAAAGCUCCUGGCUCAACUGGGAGAGGCCGUUCUAAACUGCAGAGCUAGAGGAUGGUAGAGUGAGGUGGAAUUCCGGGUGUAGCGGUGGAAUGCGCAGAUAUCCGGAGGAACACCAGUGGCGAAGGCUGCCUCCUGGACCAUUCCUGACACUCAGACGCGAAAGCUAUGGUAGCAAACGG